UGGCCCCAUUCCAGGCUACUCAGAAAUGCAAGACAGUUCCACUCUCAAUGACAGCAUCAUCCCAUAGCCAGAGUUCACAAAGCAAGGAUGAGGCAAACACUAAUCUGAAAUUCCUCACUCAGGAUGUACAUGGGACAUCGGAUAUCAUACAGACGAAUACAAAGCCACAUUCCUCAAAGUUACCUCCAGCCUUGUGUGAAGGAUAGUUGCGCUGUAUGAGAAGUACAUCAGAAACUGUUCUGGAGUCACUAUUCAACCAAGACACCAAGUUAUGGCAUCCAUAGACUGGCAGAUGAUAGCAAAAGGGAAGGAAGGAGGCAAGCUUCAGACCCAAGAGGCAGCUGUUAUGCCACCGUACCCAGAAGCACAGGAAGCCCAUGCAACCCUUCAGCAACUUUGUGAUCUGCUGUGGCACCAUCCUGCAGAACAAGGAGAUUAUUGCACCAGAAACAACUACCGGGCCUCCCAUUUAGCA